CACAUGCAGUCGAGGGGCAGCAUGAACUUAGCUUGCUAAGUUUGAUGGCGACCGGCGCACGGGUGAGUAACGCGUAUCCAACCUGCCCUUUACUCGGGGAUAGCCUUCUGAAAGGAAGUUUAAUACCCGAUGAAUUCGUUUAGUCGCAUGGCUUGAUGAAGAAAGAUUUAUCAGUAAAGGAUGGGGAUGCGUCCCAUUAGCUUGUUGGCGGGGUAACGGCCCACCAAGGCGACGAUGGGUAGGGGUUCUGAGAGGAAGGUCCCCCACAUUGGAACUGAGACACGGUCCAAACUCCUACGGGAGGCAGCAGUGAGGAAUAUUGGUCAAUGGGCGCGAGCCUGAACCAGCCAAGUAGCGUGGAGGACGACGGCCCUACGGGUUGUAAACUCCUUUUAUAAGGGGAUAAAGUUGGCCAUGUAUGGCCAUUUGCAGGUACCUUAUGAAUAAGCAUCGGCUAAUUCCGUGCCAGCAGCCGCGGUAAUACGGAAGAUGCGAGCGUUAUCCGGAUUUAUUGGGUUUAAAGGGAGCGUAGGCGGGCAGUCAAGUCAGCGGUCAAAUGGCGCGGCUCAACCGCGUUCCGCCGUUGAAACUGGCAGCCUUGAGUAUGCACAGGGUACAUGGAAUUCGUGGUGUAGCGGUGAAAUGCUUAGAUAUCACGAGGAACUCCGAUCGCGCAGGCAUUGUACCGGGGCAUUACUGACGCUGAGGCUCGAAGGUGCGGGUAUCAAACAGGAUUAGAUACCCUGGUAGUCCGCACAGUAAACGAUGAAUGCCCGCUGUCGGCGACAUAGUGUCGGCGGCCAAGCGAAAGCGUUAAGCAUUCCACCUGGGGAGUACGCCGGCAACGGUGAAACUCAAAGGAAUUGACGGGGGCCCGCACAAGCGGAGGAACAUGUGG
rnacentral:rRNA from 1 species